GAUAACGAAGGGUGAGUGGAGGGAAUUGGAAAAAAGUUGGAAAGAAAUCCUUCGCGAGAGAGCAUGGAAUCUAACCUGCCUCCCCACUGUCAUCACAAACAAACUUCAAAAACCGUGCUCCAUCCAAAAAUAAACAUAAUUAAAAACAAAAAGCACCGCACAACGUAAAACGAACCUUACCUUACCUUACUUCUCUCUUCGAAACGCUGAUCACAGUCUGUGUUCAUCCACAUUUCGCGCGCGCAUCACCCGAGAUGAGAAGAUGAUGACGACGCCGUUUCAGCAACCGCCCCAAACCGUACGGAGAC
rnacentral:lncRNA from 1 species